rnacentral:misc_RNA from 1 species
CCAAUAGCGUAUGUUAAAGUUGUUGCAGUUAAAAAGCUCGUAGUUGAAUUUCGGGAUCAAUAUAUCGGUCGUGCCAUUGGUACGUACUGGUAUCAUUGGUUUCUCCUUUUUGACGAACCAUGAUGUCAUUAAUUUGGUGUUAUGGGAAGUUAGGACUGUUACUUUGAAAAAAUUAGAGUGUUUAAAGCAGGCUUUAGCUUGAAUACAUUAGCAUGGAAUAAUGAAAUAGGACGUUCGAACCUAUUUUGUUGGUUUCUAGGAUCAACGUAAUGAUUAAUAGGGAUAGUUGGGGGCAUUAGUAUUCAAUUGUCAGAGGUGAAAUUCUUGGAUUUAUUGAAGACUAACUACUGCGAAAGCAUUUGCCAAGGAUGUUUUCAUUAAUCAAGAACGAAAGUUAGGGGAUCGAAGACGAUCAGAUACCGUCGUAGUCUUAACCAUAAACUAUGCCGACUAGGGAUCGGAUGAUGUUAAUUUUUUAAUGACUCAUUCGGCGCCUUACG